rnacentral:misc_RNA from 1 species
AAGUCGUAACAAGGUUUCCGUAGGUGAACCUGCGGAAGGAUCAUUAACAAAUAAUCCAAAUCUAUGGGUUAUAAAAAUCCAUAUACCUUUUGUGCACUGUAACUUGUCCAUUGCUUUUUUUCCCUUCACGGAAUACUCGUUUCCUUUUUCUAAUUUUGUUUGCGUAAUGAUUUUUGGCUUUUCAAGAGUUGAAAAGAUUUGCCUAAGACUAAAUUGUGAGGGGGUAACAGCCGAGUCGGGAAAGGGCAAUACUAAACACCUUAUCUUAUUUAUUUUAAUGCUGUCUGAAGUAUAAACCUUUUUUGCGAAAGCAGAAAUUUUUACUAAAACAACUUUCAACAACGGAUCUCUUGGCUCCC